rnacentral:rRNA from 1 species
UGGGGAAUAUUGGACAAUGGGCGAAAGCCUGAUCCAGCGACGCCGCGUGAGUGAAGAAGUAUUUCGGUAUGUAAAGCUCUAUCAGCAGGGAAGAAAAUGACGGUACCUGACUAAGAAGCCCCGGCUAACUACGUGCCAGCAGCCGCGGUAAUACGUAGGGGGCAAGCGUUAUCCGGAUUUACUGGGUGGAAAGGGAGCGUAGACGGUUAAGCAAGUCUGAAGUGAAAGCCCGGGGCUCAACCCCGGUACUGCUUUGGAAACUGUUUGACUUGAGUGCAGGAGAGGUAAGUGGAAUUCCUAGUGUAGCGGUGAAAUGCGUAGAUAUUAGGAGGAACACCAGUGGCGAAGGCGGCUUACUGGACUGUAACUGACGUUGAGGCUCGAAAGCGUGGGGAGCAAACA